rnacentral:rRNA from 2 species
AUUUGAAAGCUGGUCCUUUCAGGGCCCGCGUUGUAAUUUGUAGAGGAUGAUUCGGCGAGGGCUCCCGCCUAAGUCCCCUGGAACGGGGCGUCAUAGAGGGUGAGAAUCCCGUAUGCGGUGGGUUGCCUUAGCCAUGUGAAUCUCCUUCGACGAGUCGAGUUGUUUGGGAAUGCAGCUCUAAAUGGGAGGUAAAUUUCUUCUAAAGCUAAAUACCGGCCAGAGACCGAUAGCGCACAAGUAGAGUGAUCGAAAGAUGAAAAGCACUUUGGAAAGAGAGUUAAAAAGUACGUGAAAUUGUUGAAAGGGAAGCGCUUGCAACCAGACUUGUCCGCAGUUGCUCAGCCGGUCUCCUGACCGGCGUACUCUUCUGCGGCCAGGCCAGCAUCAGUUCGGGCGGUCGGAUAAAGACCUCGGGAAUGUAGCUCCCUCCGGGGAGUGUUAUAGCCCGGGGUGGAAUGCGGCCAGCCUGGACUGAGGAACUCGCUUCGGCUAGGAUGCUGGCGUAAUGGUUGUAAGCGGCCCGUCUUGAAACACGGACCAAGGAGUCUAACAUCUAUGCGAGUGUUUGGGUGUCAAACCCAUACGCGAAAUGAAAGUGAACGGAGGUGGGAACCCUCACGGGUGCACCAUCGGCCGAUCCUGAUGUCUUCGGAUGGAUUUGAGCAAGAGCAUAGCUGUUGGGACCCGAAAGAUGGUGAACUAUACCUGAAUAGGGUGAAGCCAGAGGAAACUCUGGUGGAGGCUCGCAGCGGUUCUGACGUGCAAAUCGAUCG